GCCAAAAAGUGCAAAAAUGCAGUUAUAACAAUAAGGGUCCUAAUAUUAAGAACUUAAAUAAAUGUAAUAAUUAAGAAAAAAAUUAGAAAAGGGAGAAGAAAAAAUAAAGCUUUCUACAAUAUACACAAUUUAAAUGCCAUAAAAAAAGUGGUGGUGUAAAAUCAGUUUUGUUACUGUUCAUUGUAAAGUCUUAUUGCAGAGGGGAGAAAUGAUCUGCAGUAGCGCUCCGUCCUGCAGGGUGGGAGUCUCAGUCUGUCAUAUAUAUAUAUAUAUAUAUAUAUAUCUAUAUAUAUAUAUAUAUAUAUAUAUAUAUAUAUAUAUAUAGAAUAGAAUAUAGAAUAUUCCUUUAUUGAUCCCCCAUGGGGGAAAUUUUUUUGUCACAGCAGCAUCACAGACAAGCCAAAAAGUGCAAAAAUGCAGUUAUAACAAUAAGGGUCCUAAUAUUAAGAACUUAAAUAAAUGUAAUAAUUAAGAAAAAAAUUAGAAAAGGGAGAAGAAAAAAUAAAGCUUUCUACAAUAUACACAAUUUAAAUGCCAUAAAAAAAGUGGUGGUGUAAAAUCAGUUUUGUUACUGUUCAUUGUAAAGUCUUAUUGCAGAGGGGAGAA